AUUGAACGCUGGCGGCAGGCCUAACACAUGCAAGUCGAACGGUAACAGGAAGCAGCUUGCUGCUUCGCUGACGAGUGGCGGACGGGUGAGUAAUGUCUGGGAAACUGCCUGAUGGAGGGGGAUAACUACUGGAAACGGUAGCUAAUACCGCAUAACGUCGCAAGAACAAAGAGGGGGACCUUAGGGCCUCUUGCCAUCGGAUGUGCCCAGAUGGGAUUAGCUAGUAGGUGGGGUAACGGCUCACCUAGGCGACGAUCCCUAGCUGGUCUGAGAGGAUGACCAGCCACACUGGAACUGAGACACGGUCCAGACUCCUACGGGAGGCAGCAGUGGGGAAUAUUGCACAAUGGGCGCAAGCCUGAUGCAGCCAUGCCGCGUGUAUGAAGAAGGCCUUCGGGUUGUAAAGUACUUUCAGCGGGGAGGAAGGGAGUAAAGUUAAUACCUUUGCUCAUUGACGUUACCCGCAGAAGAAGCACCGGCUAACUCCGUG
rnacentral:rRNA from 1 species